AUAAAGUUGGUGUGUUGUGUGGUUGGGGGUGGGGGUUGUCAUUGUCUUAUUUUUAAUUAAAAAGGGGGUCAUUACAUGCAUGUGGUGUAUCGGCAACUGGGAUGUUUGUCGCAAACUGGGAUUCCAUUCCGUCAACGCCACCAUCCCCUUCCCCGAGGGUCUCAUCCUCAUCUUCGUUCACUGCAUUGGAUUGAUCAUUCACAUCACAAACUCAUACAUGCCACAAUAACCAUGUUGUGUAACAAACAAUAAACCCACGUACCGGUUGGUUCGUAAGUGGGACUAUCAAGAUCAUGGGCAGUAUAUCCGGGUAAAUCGAGGCACGUGCUGUUUUUCGGUAAAUUUCAUCCCGCGCAAAUUCCUUUUAUCAAACACCGACAAACAACGGUCAAACCGAGCAAAUCUAAUUCAUCCGGGUGAAAACCCGGAUUCACCGGUUAUCAAACAGACCCUAAUUGGAUCUUGGAUGAGUGGAUCUGUGGAUGAAGAGGUAGGAUUCCUUCAGCUACGAGGCUAAAAAGGCUGAUUAUCUCUUAAAUAUUCAUACUGAUUUUUUAUACAUACAGUAUUGUGAUUAAGUAAAACUUAGGCUGUGUUUGAUAACAAAUUCCCGCUUUGCAAGUUUAUUUAGCAAACCGGGCAAAUAAGCGGCAAAUUUCAAGUUUGCCGGUUCCUGGCAAAUGGUUUAUCCGUAAAAUUAUUUUGCCAUCGUUUGAUAACAAUUUUGUAAAAAGAAGAUAAAUCGGAGUUUGCCAGUUACAUUGGUUUUGAUAAAACUUUCGAUUUUGGCGUAUGUACAUGUAUUAAAAAAACACCCAAAUUAAUGAAACUAAACAAAAAAACUAUAUCAAGCAUGGACAUACGUAAUAGAUAGAUAAUUAUAUACAUUGGUAUAAACAUAUUUAUAGGCUUCUACAAAGUUUGCAUAAUUAUAAAAGUGUUUGAAACUAUUUUGCAAAAAAAAAAAAAAAAGUAUUUGAAACUGUUAUCACCACGGCCCAUAAGUCAGACUAGACAAAAAAAAAACACAGUCAACCUUCCUGCUGAACACCCAACUAGACAACAUAUGGUGAAGCUAGAGUACCACAACCUUCCUCUGGUUCUGGUUCUUCCUCUGGUUCUGGUUCGGCCUGGUCUCUAGCUGGACCUGAUUGGGCUCUCUGAAACCCAUCAAGCCAAGUCCUUGUAGCCGGUGCCGGUAUACGCCCAUAGAAAAGCUUAGGGCAUCACCCAUCGCAGUGCACAAUCUGAAUUCUCAUCCUCCCCAAUUCGUGCGUGCGACAAAAACCCCUACACUCGAACAUGAUAGUGUCUCCUUCCUUGAGAUUCACUGCAUCAAUGAAACGUUUCCACCCAUUGUAGCGAAAGCAUAGGUGAAAAAAUCGAAUUUGCCGUCCGGAUAUUCAUGAAAUAUUCCAUUUUUUGGCUAUUCAGAUCAGUACGGCAUACGACAUAUAAACGAAAUUUAAAACACCUCAUGUCGUUCGGAAUUUAUCGGAUAUUCGCGAAAUAUUCGGCAAAAACCGAAAUUUACAAAAUUUACGAUAUUUUCGAUUAUGAAAUUAACACAUUUAUUUUUUAUUCCCCCCGAACUAGAAUUUUCGAUGAGAUUAUCAAAAAAAGGUCCAAACAGCACUAGACGUUUGGAAACUUUCGCGACGAACUUCAUCACCAAUAUUCGUGGUAAUGGUAGUGACCUGUUCAGAAGUAAAUCAGUUCUACGUUCACGUUCACCUUCCGAUGAUGAUGAUGGAGAUGGUGACCAAAACAUAGAUGUUGGUCAUCAAAGGGGAGGAUCAGAAGCCAGUGAUU
rnacentral:lncRNA from 1 species